rnacentral:rRNA from 1 species
UACGUAGGGGGCAAGCGUUGUCCGGAAUCAUUGGGCGUAAAGAGCGCGUAGGCGGCCCGAUAAGUCCGCCGUGAAAGUCCAGGGCUCAACCCUGGGAUGCCGGUGGAAACUGUCGGGCUAGAGUCCGGAAGAGGCGAGUGGAAUUCCUGGUGUAGCGGUGAAAUGCGCAGAUAUCAGGAGGAACACCAAUGGCGAAGGCGGCUCGCUGGGACGGUACUGACGCUGAGGCGCGAAAGCGUGGGGAGCAAACAGG